GACAUGCAAGUGGUAGGAAUCCGAAAGGUGACCGACCUUCGGGGAGCUUGCACAGGUGCUGCAUGGCUGUCGUCAGCUCGUGUCGUGAGAUGUUCGGUUAAGUCCGCUAACGAGCGCAACCCUCGUCGUGUGUUAUACGUGUCACACGAUACUGCCGGUAUCAAGCCGGAGGAAGGUGGGGAUGAUGUCAAGUCAGCAUGGCCUUUAUAUCCUGGGCUACACACACGCUACAAUGGCAGAUACAAUAGGUCGCGAAACCGCGAGGUGGAGCCAAUCCUCAAAGUACUGUCUCAGUUCAGAUUGUAGGCUGCAACUCGCCUACAUGAAGUCGGAGUUGCUAGUAAACGCAGGUCAGCUAUACUGCGUUGAAUACGUUCCCGGGGUUU
rnacentral:rRNA from 1 species